UGACGCUAGCGGCAGGCCUAACACAUGCAAGUCGAACGGUAACAGAUCUCGCUUGCGAGAUGCUGACGAGUGGCGCACGGGUGCGUAACGCGUAUGCAAUCUACCUUUAACUGAGGAAUAGCCCAGAGAAAUUUGGAUUAAUACCUCAUAGUAUUAUUUAUAGGCAUCUAUUUAUAAUUAAAACUUCGGUGGUUAAAGAUGAGCAUGCGUCCUAUUAGCUAGUUGGUAAGGUAAAAGCUUACCAAGGCUACGAUAGGUAGGGGGCCUGAGAGGGUGACCCCCCACACUGGUACUGAGACACGGACCAGACUCCUACGGGAGGCAGCAGUGAGGAAUAUUGCGCAAUGGAGGAAACUCUGACGCAGCCAUGCCGCGUGCAGGAUGAAUGCCCUAUGGGUUGUAAACUGCUUUUCUGCAAGAAGAAACCUUAGUACGUGUACUAAGUUGACGGUACUGCAGGAAUAAGCACCGGCUAACUCCGUGCCAGCAGCCGCGGUAAUACGGAGGGUGCAAGCGUUAUCCGGAUUUAUUGGGUUUAAAGGGUCCGCAGGCGGAACUUUAAGUCAGUGGUGAAAGCCUACAGCUCAACUGUAGAACUGCCAUUGAAACUUAAGUUCUUGAGUGUGGUUGAAGUGGGCGGAAUAUGUCAUGUAGCGGUGAAAUGCAUAGAUAUGACAUGGAACACCUAUUGCGAAAGCAGCUCACUAAACCAUUACUGACGCUCAUGGACGAAAGUGUGGGUAGCGAACAGGAUUAGAUACCCUGGUAGUCCACACCGUAAACUAUGAUCACUAGAUGUGGCGAUAUAAUGUCAGUGUCAAAGAGAAAUCGUUAAGUGAUCCACCUGGGGAGUACGUCGCAGAAUAACUAAUGAUAG
rnacentral:rRNA from 1 species